AUGCAGGACAGUGUGGAGCGACAGCUGCUCACCUGCCAGGUAAGCCCCGCCCCCACGACUCCAGGUGUCCGUCAAGAUUUACAGGCCAGCAAACAAUCAGUGUCGGAUAAGGUGGAAAAGUAUUUCAAUGUUCAGCUUCACAUCACAGGCGUGUGUUUAUGGGAGAUGCUCAUGGAGAUUGAGCAGAAGGUGGUGAGUCUGUCUGCGCUGACUCAGGCUGCUGACCGGCACCAGCAGGAGGAACUGGGAGCUGUGGGAUCCCAGCAGGAGGUGGCUGAGCUCCUGUCCUCCAAACUGCAGCUCCUCAAGCUCAACCUGGUCUCGUUCCAGCAGCUCCUACAGGAGCGACUGGAGGAGGAGGGCUCCUCCAGGGAGCUGCAGGAACAGACUCAAGGAGUCUGCCUCCCACAACAGGUGACUUGAGGAGCCGUCUCUGUUUCAAACAAGUCUAAAUGACAAAACUGUUUGGGGCUAAGAUGCUUUGUUCUCAUCCACCCUGUGUCUAAGUCAAAGCGCAGCAGCAGCUUUCAGGAACUUUUCUCGUCGCCAAGAAACAAACUCCUGAGGCAAAGCAGCCUGCAGCAGCAGAAGGUAUUAACACAAUCAGUCACGUUUAAUCGGUGGUUCACCAUAAUAUGUUCAAAGAUUAGGAAUCCGAACGAGAAAAAAACUCGCCAGCAAAAUGCAAAACCAAACAGUCAGUGCAGCAAAGCUCAGCACAAAGUCUGUGCGUCCGAGUGUUGAUGCAGCUGGAUGUUGUUUGCAGGAGCUGGAGCAGGAGCUGACGGAGCAGAGAGGUUUGACUCAGGCCAUCAUCCGACUUCACAGCCAGGACACAGCAUGGUAUCAAAUCUGGCUGGUUAAUACUGUAGCUCUCCUUUUUCCAACCAUCGUUCCACAUCUUGGCCUUAGAAUAAUUAUGUGGUUUUAAAUUACAUUUGACAUCUGAUGACUUAAAUCCACAAUUAAUUUUAUUAAUUAAUGCAAUUUUCCAUUUUCUACUCCCAUAAACAUUUAAAGCACCUUUUAUGGUAAAAGUCUCUGCUGUCUAUAAAUAAAUAGAUAAACUGAGGAUCUAUGCA
rnacentral:lncRNA from 1 species